rnacentral:rRNA from 1 species
GACGAACGCUGGCGGCGUGCUUAACACAUGCAAGUCGAACGGAAAGGCCCUGCUUUUGUGGGGUGCUCGAGUGGCGAACGGGUGAGUAACACGUGAGUAACCUGCCCUUGACUUUGGGAUAACUUCAGGAAACUGGGGCUAAUACCGGAUAGGAGCUCCUGCUGCAUGGUGGGGGUUGGAAAGUUUCGGCGGUUGGGGAUGGACUCGCGGCUUAUCAGCUUGUUGGUGGGGUAGUGGCUUACCAAGGCUUUGACGGGUAGCCGGCCUGAGAGGGUGGCCGGCCACAUUGGUACUGCGAUACGGCCCAGACUCCUACGGGAGGCAGCAGUGGGGAAUAUUGCACAAUGGGCGGAAGCCUGAUGCAGCGACGCCGCGUGCGGGAUGACGGCUUUCGGGUUGUAAACCGCUUUCGCCUGUGACGAAGCGUGAGUGACGGUAAUGGGUAAAGAAGCACCGGCUAACUACGUG